AGAAGGUUCGAUAUUUCUGUGGGUGACUGUUGUGUUCAAUUGUGUUGCAUUAUUUUCAACAUUUGUAUUUCCCUGUGUGUCUCUUUUUAGUCUUGCCAAUUUUUUAUUUUUUUUUUUCAUUUUUCUUUACAAUCAAUCCUUUAAAAAAAACUAUCUACAUAACAUUUAUACCACUUACAAGAUAUAAGUCCCGACGUCUGCACGAGCGUAAAACUAGUUUCAAUACACAAAUAAGAGUAUGCCCGUGCAUCGGCAUGGGCUCACGGGCUAGUUAACUAAAACAAGAGAAUUUGGAAAUUCUCACACGCACACACUGCGGCCUCACUCUCGCUCGCAACCCUAGCUCCCACUCUCGCUCGACGCUGUUUCCGCUUGCUCGCGGUGGUUCAGAGCAAUCUCUCUCGCACGCACGGUGGUCAUAACUGGAAAGGGAAAGUGAGAAUAAUUGAUUGAUUGGUGCGGAAUGUACAUGUCGCAGUUCUUUCAAGUCAGUAUGUUUGAUGCAUUUGUACUUGGGUAUCUAGUUUUUCAGUUUUGGUUUGAAGACAUGCACAUAGAUACAGGGUGAGGCUUUAUCUCCUUUGCAAAACAGGGCAAAUUCCGAAUAGGCCAAAGUAUGAAUAAUUGGUAGUGUGUGCUAAGGUUUGAGUUGGUUGUUACAGUUUUGUUUUGAUUGAUGCAUUGGAUCUUUGUUGUUUUUGUGCCUAUCUUUGUUAUGUGUUAAUUCUGAUCUGGAAAACAUACAAAUCUACACAUGAUAAGUUUUAAUCUAAUGCAACUAACAUACUAAUCUACUCUUGAAUUCUCAUAAAUUUGGUGGGAAAAAAAUAGAAAACAGAGAAUGACAUUACAUAAUUAAUUUAGAUAAAGACUUAGUAGAUUUCCUUUAGAAUGGUAUACCCAAAUGACUGCAUAAAAUGACUAGAGAAAAGCGUACCUUAGCAAGCUACUUUUCCAAGUUCACAGACUGAAAUCAUAGAAAUUGCAAAAUUGGAUUAAAUUGCCUACGAUUAGAUUACCAAGAUUGGAUUAGAUUAACAAAAUCAGAUUAAGUCGUUGUGGACUUGUGGUUAUGAUUCAUGAGUAUAUGACAAAAAUUGUUGACUACCUGCACUUCAAGAAGCUGGCUUGUGGACUCUGAAAAGGAAAUAAUAUUAAUUGUUUCUACUGGAUAUUGGACCUGGAUGACUGAACAACAAUCAUAAGUUAGUAAGCCAUGUCUUAUCUGUAACAACUGUGAGCACAUGAAUCAGACAGCACAUGGCAGAGGAUAUAAAUGAUAGAACAAUGCAGAUUCAGAAGUUCCUGGACGAAGUGGAAAAAUAUAAUCCAUUUUUUUAUUUCAUUAUUGAAGCACUUUUCCCCAUUUCUGCAAUUAGAUAAUUUUGUGGACAUCAUGUCCAAAAACACAAGUUCCUUUGAGAAAGAAACACCUUUUGCCGAGGCUGCUCUCAUGGAGAUCCCCUUCCAACAUAAAGAAACCAUGGAAUUUGGAAUACUUGGGUAUGAUCCUAAUUAAGUUUUACUAGGUAUGAACAAAACCAAGCAUUAUGCAUAACUAAAACCUUUUGGUGCCUAAGUGUAUCUUCAUUGUCAUGAAUAGUUUUAGAAUUACUUUCUAGCUAUGAUGCUUAUCCAUUUCAUUGCUACGUGAUUGCCAACACUAUCAUCAAUUGUCAUUUUGUGCUUGUUACUCGAACCUAUGCUAAAGUAUAUUGGGAAAAAUUCGAGUUUCACAUUGGUUAGUGCCAAGAUAGAGUAUAUAAGUGGGGACAAGCCUCACCCUAUGAACUAGUUAUUGGGGUCGAGUUCAGGUCCAAACUUACAUUCUAAGAUGAUAUCAAAAUCUGUCUUAUAUCCAUUAAACGGGUCACCCACUAUGUUAUGCACGCACCAAGCCCAAAAAUGUUGGGCGUGAGGGGGUGUAUUGGAAAAACCCAAGUCUUACAUCGGUUAGAGAUAGUGUCAAAAUAGAAUAUAUAAGUGAAAGACAAUCCUCACCUCAAAAGCUAGCUCAUAGGGGGAGGGUUGUCCCCACUUAUAUAUUCUAUCUUGGCACUAUCUCUAACCGAUGUAGAACGAGUUUUUCCCAAUAAAGUAAAGUAUGAAAUAAUUAGAAAUUUGGUAGAAAUCGUUUUGAAUCCCCAAAUAACAAUAAUUGAUCGAAUUUAUCAGGACAAGAUGGAUAUAUUCAACUAAUGUUUUAAUGAUAGUGUAUUAUUCAACUAGUAAGCUAUUUGAUAAAAAAAAGGAUUAAAACAUAAAAAAGCCUCUCUUCCUUCUCAUAAGUUCAAUGAGACUCUAAUACUUUUUGCUUCUAUGUGACAGUAGCAGAGAUAAACUGACACAAUGUAAAAGCAAUUUGAUAAAAACUUAUAGUUUACUAAGCUAUGAAACAAACCUGAUGCAACCAAGGUAAGCUACGUUGUGUGUCACCAACAUUAACUUGCUCUAAACAACAUUUGAAUUAUCUUGCUUCUUCUACAACACAUGAAAAUGAAUAAAAUAUGUAAAUCUAUCAUCACACUUACAGCUCAUAAAACAAAAUAAUUACAACAAAUUCAUUAAACUCUUACAUGUCAUUCUCAAAUCUCAACGUGACUACUUUAUGACACUGAAACAAAAUAAAAGUGCAAAACCUAUGUUUUUAUCUCAAAUCAUCCAAAAUUAGGUCAAAAUGAGAGAGAGGAGAAGAUUUACAUUGAAACAAAUAAGAAGUGCAAAGCCUAGCAAUGCAAGAAAUUAAGGCAAACAAAAUUAGGUUAGAAUGAGAUAAAGAGCAAAGAUAAAGAACGAGCAAAGCAUAUUAAAAAUUAAAAUGUUUCAACGCCUUGUCCGAGAGUGAGGGAUGAUAGGGAAUGAGAGCAUUGAAAGCACCGCAACCCCUAUUUGCAAGCUUUUUGAGCUAGCAAAUGAGAAUGAGCUAAAGAUUUGAGAAUGAGCAUCGGGUCUUCAUGUCACAACUAUAAUAAACAAAAAAAUUUAAUUAUGGUUUUACUCCUUCAAAUUAAAUGAUUAGUGUAAGGGGUCCAUCUCAGUUAGUUGAGUAAGAUGCGUGAGUUAUUGUACCUCUCUCACAUUUUGAUUCUCCCACAGAUAAAAAAUAUUAAAUGAUAAUUUUUUUUCUCAUAGUAAAAUUUAUAGUAUUUUUAGUUUUUUAAAAAGCUUAAUUAUCAAUUUGGUCACCAAAUUUUAAAACUCUUCAAUUUGGUCCUUAAAUUUUCUUAAAAUGUCUCAAUUAGUUCCUUUUCGUCAAAUGACGUUGAUGUCUUUAGGAUGCGAAUUCUGGCAGUUUAAUUUACAAAUAGUGACAGCUAAAAAUCACCACUAUUUUUCUGUCAAAUCCACAAAUAGGUUCUCAGUUGCACACUUGUUCUUGUUGUUUCUCAUUGGGGUGGGACUUUGCAUGCGUGAGUUGAAAAAGGAAACAAGAUUUUUAGCAUAAGCAUGAUGAUGAUGAUGUUGGAUUGAAAUAUUUGUGGUGCAGAAAUAUCUGAAGGCCAUAGUCCCAUCCUCUAUUAGGUCUUGUUGUAUAGUGCUGCAAAUGGAUAGAUCCUUAGAUUUUUGUCUAACCCCCUCGUAAUAUCUGAAUCGUUGUUUGUUGCCAUCCUCACCUUCCUGUCCCUGUCAAUCCCCACUUCCACCCACAUGUGUGUGGUGCACCGCAUCACCUGGUUCGCAUUGACCCAACUCUGCCAUCGUCGGUGCAUAGUGCACAAACAAUAAGAACAAGUGUGCAACUUCUUGGUCCUAGCAUUUUUUGGGAAGAAGCAGCUUCGUAAUAUUUCGCUGAAUGAUUCGCUUUCGUCUAUUGGAGAAUUUGUUCCGGCUAAUGAACAUGUUGAUAUAGUUCUUGACAGAUUACCAGAUGAAUUUGAGUCAUUGGUUAUGCUUAUUAGUUAUAGGUUUGAGCCUCUCACGAUUGAUGAAGUCAAAACUUUUCUUCUUGCUCAUGAGACUCGCAUUGACAAGUCUUGCAAGAAAUCAAUUGCUUCCAUCAAUCUCACUAAAGUUUUUAAACCUAAUUUUUGCCUCAAUUCCUCGAAGCAAGUGUGUUCCUACACUACUCCAGAGCUGCAAGCCAAUCUUGCUUAGGCUCAACACAGUGCUGCUCACAGCACUAACCCGAUCUACAAUAACUACUAUGGAGGUAAUCGUUUCCUCAACAAUUGUUGUGGAAGUUGCUGCAAUUUCUCUCGCGAUGGUUGUGGUGGUGGUCGCAACUAUGGUCAUGGUGGUAGAUAGUCUAACAUUAAGUGUCAAAUCUAUCAUAAAUAUGGUCAUGUGGCUUCCUAUUGCUAUUACAGGCAUGAUGAUAACUAUGUCUCUACUCAACCAAUGGCCUAUCCAAAUCAGAAUCAGUACUCAAAUCAAAAUCACAAUCAAAAGAACCAACACCCAAACCAAUACCAAAAUCAGUAUCCCACUAACCAACAUCCAAACCAAUAUCCCACUCAAUCUUCCCAUUCAUAUCCUAAUCAGCCUCCAUAUCGGAAUGCUCCACCUCAACGCAAAAAUCCACCACCACAAGCUCAUCUAACUCGUGCUCAGUGCUCCUCUCCACAAAAUUGGUAUCCAGAUUUAGGUGCAUCUCACCAUGUUACAAAUGUUUCUCAAAAUAUUCAACAGACCACACCCUUUGAAGGACCAGAUCAAAUUACUAUUGGUAAUGGUCAGGGAUUAAAAUCAAUUCAUAAGGUGUAACCUCCUUUUAAUUCGCAAACUCCUCUUGUUCUUAAGAACCGGCUAUUUGUUCCUUCUAUAACCAAAAACUUGAUGAGUGUCAGUCAGUUUUGUAGAAAUAACUCUAUUCUUGAGUUUCAUUCUUAGUUUUGCUUGGUCAAAUCUCUUGUCUCUAAAGAGGUCCUUCUUCAAGGGUUGGCUGGUGCUGAUAACCUUUACCAAUUCCCUAAUCUGCUUUAGUCAUCUAGACAGCAACUCAAGUCUCAUUUCACUAUCAAUGCCAUUUCAUCUGAUGUUUCAGAACCUGUCUUCAGAGCAUCUUCUUCAAAUUUUGUUUCCAAUUAUGUAAAUAGUAUUAAUGAUGCUUCUGUUGUAAAUACAAUUUCUAAUAGUUCUAUUUCUUUUGCCACUUGGCAUUCUAGAUUUGGACAUCCUAUUGUUGAUACUAUGAAACUUGUAUUCAAACUCUGUAAUCUGCCUAUGAUCAAUAAAACAGGUUCUGACUUUUGUUCACAUUGUUGCAUUGGUAAAUCCCAUAGACUUCCUUCCUCCCCUUCUCUUAGUGUCUAUUCCACUCCUUUUGAACUUAUCUAUACUGAUUUGUGGGGUCCUUCUCCUCUUGUGUCCAGCACUGGUUACAGAUAUCAUGCAAUCUGUUAGGUUACCGAUUAAGCAAGUGUAUGAAGGAAGGACACAUGGAAAGUAUAAGAGGAAGACGGAGCACCAGCCAGAACCAGGAUUAGUUAGUAGUUAGCCUUGUAACUAUUCAAGUCAGUUAAAGGCAGUUAGUUAGUUAGUUGUCACCUAUAAAUAGAGAUGGACAGCCUGGAAUUACUCAUUCGGGAGUAAUCACGGUGGUUGGUUAGGGAGGCUAGGCUCCAAUCCCUAGAUGUGCAUUUGUACUACAAAAGUAAUAAAACGAGAGAUUAGGCUGGUACCAUCACAAUCUUUGUUGAUGCACACAACAUAUUUACUUGGCUAUACUUGUUAAAAAGUAAAUCAGACACCCUAACUAUUUUUAAACAGUUUCAAACUAUGUUUAAAACUCAAUUAAACCUACCUAUUAAAGCUGUUGGGAGAUGAAUAUAGGCAUUUCUCUAAGUAUCUUACCAAUCUUGGUAUUAUGCAUUGACCAAUCUGUCCUCAUAUGCACCAUUAGAAUGGGAUUGUGGAGAGGAAACACGGACACAUACUAGAAACAGUUUUAACUAUGUUGUCUCAUGCCUCAAUGACACUUGACUAUUGGGAUCAUGCUGUCAUUUCUAGUGUUUACCUAAUAAAUAGACUUCCUUAUUUAGCAAUUGAAAAUGAAGUACCUUAUCAAAGACUGUUUCACAAGCUGCCAAAAUACAAAUUCCUCAAAGUCUUUGGCUGUGCCUGUUUUCCUCUUCUCAGGUCCUAUAAUCAGCACAAGCUGCAACCAAGGUCUAAAGAAUGUAUAUUUUUGGGUUACUCUCUUUCCCACGAAGGCUCUAAAUGCCUUGCUGCAGAUGACAGAAUAUACAUCUCCAAAGAUAUAAUUUUCAAUGAAAUUAGAUUUCCCUUUGCUUGAAAGAAAAGAAUUGUUUACCCCAAGUUGGUCAGUGGAAUAUGAUGAACAAGGUAUUGUAUACAUUUUACCAUUAUUUGUUUUCAAGCAGUAAGGAAAUGCAAGUAUUUUACCUUGUUUUUGUAAAAACAAUAAAAUAAAGGGAAAUGGUAAUAUUUUUAAGUCAUUUAUAACAAGACUAUUUUUGCUCAACAUUUUGGUCCUAUUUAAAUUAUGAAAUUCCUAGGUAUGUGCUAUUCCUGUUUAGUGUGGAUUUUGAUCUGAAGCGUAUUUGUGUAAUUGGCCUUGGUUUAUAUUUUUUAUACUUCCUAUUGUUGAAAAUACUUUUGUCGCUUCGGUAUUAAAUUUGUAGGAUUUUCUUAAAAAAUAAAGGAUUUGUAAAUAUUAAUUGAAAUCAUAGAGUUUGAAAAAAAAAAACAAAUAUAUUUCUAACCCCUAUAAAAUAUUUCUCUACUUUAGUUUUUUUAUAAGAUUUUGUCAUUGUUAUAAUAAUUUUAAAACUGUAAAUUUGUUUAAAUUAUAUAAUUGACACAAUAGUGUCAAUUCUUGUUUAUUUUAGAUGUGGAUGUGGGUGAAUGAUUUAUUUAGUUGAAGAAUUUGUAUUUGAUUUCUUUCAUAUAUAAAAUUUUCUUGAACUAGUGACAAUUACGUUUUGUGAAUGAGAUUAGUGUUUGAUCCAAUACAUUUUGACCUAGAUCUAUGAUAUUUUAUCUAAGACUAAAAAUAUUAUAAUUUUCUUAUAUAGUUUUUAUAUUGGAAAAUAUUUAUUUUAGCCCCAUUAUUUAAAUUUUUCUUUAAUAUAUGAUUGUAAUAUCAUUAGGAAAUACCAACACAUACUAAAACAAUAAAAGAAAAUUUUAGAAAAAUCAAAAUUGACAAAAAUUAUUAGGAUUAAAAUAAAAAAGAAGGCUUAUUACUAGCAUCAGAAUCAUAAAAGUCAGAACCAUUAUUGGGAGUAUAUGAAAGCCUUACAUCUCAAAAUUAAAAUGAAUUUCAUAUUGUUAAAAGAUUCAACACUUGGAUAUAAAAAUCUAUUUAACCCAUUACUAUGUCAUGUUAUUUUCCUUAUAUUUUGGUUAGUAACUACUUUUAUUUAUUAUGUCUCUUGUAUUUUUAGAGUUAAUUCAGUUUUUGGUUCUAUUUUUUUUUCAAAAAUUGUAUUUUUUGUCUCUAAAUAAUAUUGUGUUUUUGGUCUUUUAUUUUUCUAAAAUUUUAGUCUGUUAUUAAGUAACAAUGUUAUUUGAUAACAUGAUUGCUACAUUGGUUGUCCAAUAACUUGUUAUGUCAUCAAAGAGUCAAACAAGAUUGUCGCGUGUAUUUUUUUUUUAAAGAAAAUUGUGCUUUUUAGUUUGUCGUGACAAACUAGUAGAACGUCAUAUUAUCAGUUAAGUAACAUGACACAACAUCACUUAAUGGACCUUGACUUACAACAAAUACUAAAAUCAAACAUAAAAAAAUUUAUGGUAAUAACGCAAAUUAAAAGUUUAGGUAGUAAUUUAAGAUUAAAUUACACUCGCACACGUUUUUUUUUUAAAUUGCACAUGAUAUCUUUUACUAUCCUACAAAAAAAACUAUUAAUUAUCUAGUUUAUAUUACACUCAGACCCCCUCUCUCCUAAACACUAUUCAAUAAUUUAAUAGAAAGUAAGCAUGUAUUAGUCACAUGACUUAUGAAAAUUUAUGUUUAAAAUAUUUUCACUUCCUUCCUCUUAACUCCAUAAAAGAUGUCAUCAUUUUCAACCGGAAAAUAUUAUAACACUCUUCUUUCUUUUUCUUUUUCCUCCAAUUAGACUUGAAUCUAACUUUUUGUUGAAUGUGAACUCACUUUGUUGAUACACAUGUGUUAAUAUCUUUCCUUCUUUUUUUUAGUUCAAUUUUUCUGUGCGUGUUAGGUCAUUUAGUUGUUGCAUUUUUUCUUAGACGAAUUUCUAGCAAUGUCUAUUGAUUGAAUAUGAUUUUUUAUUUCAAAUUUUAGUGUUAUGCCAGUUUUUAACUCCUUUGUUUGAAAUAUUUAUUUUUUAUGGUUAGAUGUUCGAUAUAAUAUCUCAAUCAAAAGUUGCAUCUUCUUCAAUUGUUAGAAAGGAUAAUUUUGGUUUUAAAAUGAAAAUGUUAAAAUAAUUUUGUUUGUUCACAUAUUUUAAUUAAUGUUAGUUAACAACAUUAAUAGGAGGGAUAAAAGUAAUGUGAAAAAAAUGGGUUAUCAUGUAAAAUGAGACAUUUAAAAUAGAAGUAUAAUGUUUUUAAUAAAUACAAGUAUCCUAUAAGAAGAAUAGAAGUAUAAUAUUUUUAAUAAAUUGUAUGUUCUACAACUUUAAGAAAUAAAAAAAAGUUAUGAAAUUGUGAUAAUGAAUAAGACUUAAUAUAUAUAAUUUAAUAAUUUUUUUGGAUAGAGCAGCUCCUUAACUUAUGUCCAUAAGGCCCAUGAUAUUGAUAGUCGGUUUAAUCUUGGCACCCUCACCUUUAUUGUUUUGACAAAAAUAUCCUUAACGGAAACUAUUAUAUAAAAUUAAACAGCGCAAUUUACGGAAACUACUUUUACAAAAAGCUAAAGAAGUAGAGGGUGAGAAGAAGAAAAAAAGGUUUGUUAAUGACAUGGGCCUGUCCAUAUGGGUUACAUUUUCAGCCCACACCCACAGCAGCCCAACUCAGCCGACGCAAUUAUUAAACAACCUAACCCGGUUUACCAAUUACCAACCCCGAGUGCUAGCAUCCCCAAAUUUUAGAAUCAAACAAACCUCAGUACCAAGAACCCUAUGCCUUCACAAACCCUAACAUCGAUUCAGAUCGUUUGUUCGCACUUCAAUCUCCAAGUGAUAGGUACACUCUUCUCUCCCCAUUCACUCGCAUUGACUUUUGCUAGUUGAAGUCUUUCAUUGUUGUCAAAUUCAGAUCUGGUUUCCCUUUCUCCCUCUUGUAUCUUAUCGAUUUUGGUUCAUGGCAUGCCUCUGUAACUUUGUUUCUUUCUUCAUGUAAUCCUUGCAGCAAGAACUUUGUUUCUGUACUUUAUUUUCCACCAAUUAAAACUUACGAAUCUGUACUGACAAUUGUUACAUGUAAUUAAAGCGGGUCAAUUGAUAUAUCUUGGGAAUAACUUUUUACAUUAUCACUUGUAUUAUUAUUUUUUCUCUGGUGCAUCUACUGUGAACACCUAAAAAUUGACAAUGUAUUUGAGAUUUUACUUAGCACUGCAUUUUAGCCAAAUGCACCAUACAUGUUUAGCUGACUUCUUCCUCAUACAUGCUGGUUUUUUUCUUUCUCUUUAAAACUUGAGUCUGUCUAUUAUUGUAUAAGCACUUAGAUAUCAUAUAAUUUAUUUUUAUAAUUGAAGAAAUCAGUUUAAACUAUUUUCACAUAAGAUAUAAGUUGUUUUCAUUAUUUAUCCUAGAAUGCUUACUGAAGAUAAGCCAAAGUAAACUUUAAAUAAGCUCUUCUAAACAUACCUUAAUUUGAUCAUUGCUUAGGAAUGAGAAUGCAUGGUUCCAGCUUGAAUAUAUUUAAAAUGCUGAGAAAUGUGAUUAUUUUAGUAGGGAUCAGGUGCCAAAUCCAAGGUCUCAUAUCUAUAGAUUCUAUACUUAUUAUUGUUGAAACCACAUUGAAACUCAUCAAAUUUGUUUUUAGAAUAGGAAGCCUAACAUAGUUUCUUUACUGAAUGUGGGCUCCCACAGACAAUGGCUUACCUCAGUUUUAAGGUUUCUCCACCAGAUGUGUACUGAAGUGUGGCCUUUAUUAAAUUCAACCCUGUUGAGCAGUUAUUUAGGUUUUCAGAGAGGAAGAUGGGGGAGGGGGAAACUGUGUUUUUAUAUUUUAUUGUUGAAUAGUAAUUGAGUUAUUAUAUUUUAUCAUUUAAUACUACCUUUCAUAAACUGUAAACUUUUUCCCUCGUUGACUAGCUGAAAAAUUAACAUUGUGGAUCAUGACUCCCUUUUUGACAGCUCAAUUUGUUGGAAAAUAUUAAGUUGUGGAUGUAAUUGACUUGUUGAUAUCAACAUUGAAAGUUGUGUUUCUUCCUGUGUUGGUUGGUGCUUUUCUUAGUCAAUAUUUCCAAUCUCUUGUUAAAUUUGGCAUGCAGGUAAAGUCAAUAUUUUAUAAUUGCAUUAUUAAGCAUAGGCAGCUUGCUGCUUGCUACCUUUUUUGUGAAUGUUGGUUCAAUUUCACAUAUCUGCUGUAUCACAUAGAUACCAGGGCAGAGAUUGAGUUUUUAGAAAUGAAGAUUAAACUUUUAUUUCAUUUUCUGGUUCAGUACGUAACAAUGUGGCUCUCAAAAAGCUAGAUAUCUUCAAACACCUUCAUUUACCAAAUACAUGUUGACAAUUUUUUUUGCAAAUUAUUAGGAACAGAAACAUAAACUUGAGUAAUUAGAUAGCAAUUUGCUAUGCAUAUUAUACAAAUGAAUGCACUCAAAUAAUUCUGUAAUUGACUGUUCGAAACUGUAAGAUUUAAUGCAUUUUUAUCUAACUAAAAUUGUGUUUGAAUAGGUAGAGUGUAUGCCAGAUUUUAACUAACUAUUCUAAUGUUUUUUUAUAUAUGUUAAAUAAUUAAUAAUA